rnacentral:rRNA from 1 species
CCUACGAGUGGCAGCAGUCGAGAAUCAUUCACAAUGGGGGAAACCCUGAUGGUGCGACGCCGCGUGGGGGAAUGAAGGUCUUCGGAUUGUAAACCCCUGUCAUGUGGGAGCAAAUUAAAAAGAUAGUACCACAAGAAGAAGAGAAGGCUAACUCUGUGCCAGCAGCAGCGGUAAUACAGAGGUCGCAAGCGGUGUUCGGAAUCACUGGGCGUAAAGGGUGCGGAGGCGGUAUAGCAAGUCAGAUGUGAAAGGCGCGGGCUCAACCCUAGGACGGCACUUGAUACUGUUAGUCUAGAGUAGGGGAGAGGUAGGCGGAAUUCUCGGUGUAGCAGUAAAAUGCGUAGAGAUCGAGAGGAAUACUCAUGGCGAAGGCGAGCUGCUAGAACAUAACUGACGCUGAGGCACGAAGGCGUGGGGAGCGAACGGGAUUAGAUACCCUAGUAGUC